UUUACCGAAAGAACCAAGAAUAUGAAUCCCUGCAGUCGCGAAGGCUUCAAAUCGAAAUGUAAAUAGGUAAACAAUGAUCUAACUCUGAUAAUGCACGCUCUUAGACUUUCCGGGGUUAACAAGAAUAAUGACAUACAAUAAUCAAGGGAGGGGAAAAUACUCGCACGAACAGAAGGUAAAAACAACUAAUGUAUAUACAGUACAACUUGCAUUCGUAAUUGCAAUACACCCACAACGUAAAAAAACACGCAUCUCAGUGCGCUAGGAAAAAGAAACCGACGCACUCGUAAUAGCACGAUGUCAGGAUUGACAGGAAGCAGAACCUUCGUGAGCGAGCGGCAAUAUGACAAUUCAUUAACUCGUACAAGAGCCACCGACGACUUGCCAGUCGCUCGCUGGUCGGAGUGGCACACGUGUGUGUGUGUGUGUGCUCCCCCUGCAACAAGCAGGCGUUCCGGCCGUCGUUUAGAUCAUUGAUGAGCACUUGGGCUGCUACAAAUUUCCACAAGCCACUUCGUUGAGCUGUCAUUUGUGGCCAGGCCGCUUCUGAAAUAGAAGCUAAUAUCGCAGCGGGCCUUACCUGGUAAAAUACAAAUAGUUUGGUUCAUUUGUACAUAUUUACUUGUCAUUUUCUUACCUUUCCCUAUGCUGUGCACUAUCGUGCUUUAUAUUGCUUGUUGUUAUCAUGUUCUGACCUGCCCCGACUGGAACAUCUGCGGCAAAAGAACUUUACAGCUCAUCGGAUUCCUUCAGCAUGAAUAAAUAUUUGUGACCGCGACUAAUGUUGACAGUCGGCAUCCUUGCCGUCACCUGCCCACGGCGCUGGUUUGUAGGCGCACGCCGCCUGCGGCCGUCGAGAGGAGACCACUCAGCAGCUGGAGCACGCGACCCCGACUCCACGUGGAUUUUCAACAAAGAAGGUGUGUGGGGGUGGUGGUGGUGGUGAAACACGCUCGUGUCGGUCACAAGUGCAGUUGGUGUUUAUUUUUUUACUAGAUACCCACCCACUGAAACACGGCCGAGCCGUCAACUACAUUUGGAGCACAUUUCCGGCGUCAAUCCGCGGCAAGGUUCUUCACGUUGGUAAAGUGCGUUUAACAAAACAACAACAAUGAGACGUUGUAAACACCACACCACGUCUCAGCCGCUCAGCUCUAAACACUUACAGCUGUGUGGCACCAGUGAGUCAUCGUUUCCAUAGUGACCAAAUUUCACCCCCACCAUCUCUUCUUCCCCCUCCUCCCCUCUCAGUCUCGCUCCUCUUCUCUCCCCUUCCAGCCUCGACUGGAUUUGUGCUCUUCCUGUCCCUCUCUCUCCCUCUCUGAUUUCGGAGAAUGUUUUACAGGCAAGUAACCGACACGGCCAUCGAAACGAGGUAAUUCCCAGCGGAGGGUGUUUUGCUCUCUGCGAGGCAUAGCGCUGUUGCUGAGACACAGAGAGAGAGAAAAAAGACGGGAGAGAAACUGUGUAUAUCGCUCACCGGGAGAACAGCUUUAUACUUGCUCACAAGAAGCACAAGAUUCGUCCCCGCUGUGGAGAGAACCACCAAAACCAUGACUCGCGUCGUCAUUCCUUUCCUCCUCUGAAGCAUGCCAAAUGCUGCUCUGCUCCUCAUGCAAUGUGUGACAUCCUCGGGACUGAGGCUGCGAAGACCCACAGCAACAAUGGGCAUGUCGUUAUCCGUGGAGGAAGAGGACAUUGUCAAUGUGCGUAGAGAGGAGAGAGAGGAGUCUAUUCUGGCCAUGCUGGGGAUCACGGGGACCAUCCUCAACCUCAUCGUCAUCAUCUUCGUCUACAUUUACACCACCGCCUGAGCGCCAAGCUGUGACCCGGCUGUCGGGGCCGCCAGCCGGCCUGCCAGCGGCCACCAACGAGGGAGGAGGCGCUGCUCGGGCUCGGGAGAGGCCACCCACGGCACUCGCAUCCGACGCCCGAGCGAUCGAUGGCUUUUCACAUGCGCGGGAGCCCGACGUGAGCUUGAGCUUUGGGAGAAAUAACGAAGGAACGCUCCGCGUGAUAAGACGACGACGGAGAAAAAAACACUGGACUGCAGCGCAGGCGGUGGAGACGUAAGCAGCGGCUUGCACUUAUGUUGCAGGGCAACAAAUCGAAGACGAUCAAAGGCCGAGGGAGACUGUGAAGCCUUGUUGACAAUGAACUGGGUGUCAGAUGGACAUUAAUACCUCUGGAAUUCCUCUACUUCAGAACAGUGAGGUUAACAAACACAAUGGGCAUCUCAGUAUUUUUAUGUUUACAACGUAAGCUCGAGUUGUGGGUAAGGAACACGUAUAAUCACCGACACACGUACAAGGAUAACGAACAUCAGGGGAUAUUGCAGUGAGGAUAUUCUCGAUCAAGUACCUUAAUAUUACAUCACGAGUAAAUGCAAUUUUUUGCACGUUGAUAUCAAAUUGGGGAUCAUCAAAACCACUCCAGAAUAAUAAACUGUUGCUUUUUGUGUAAAUCAAUCCUGCGUACACUGUGUACAUACUUCAAUGGCUUGUGGUUAGAAUUCAAGCUCUUCAUGUAUAUAGAAGAGCCAUUUCAUUGCAUUUCAGUAAAAAAAUCAUGUCUUUAUACCUUAAUUGAAUCAUUGAAUAUAAUAACAAGGUACAGUUUUGUUUUAAUUUACUUAUCUUACAGAAUAUAGAAUGCAUAAUCCUGAUGUAAUGGUAAGGUAUUAAUUCAGUGCCUACAAGUGUACAACUUGCCUGUAAAAAGUAUGAGCUUUUCUUCAUCAAUAUUUCGUAUUAAAUUAACGAUGAGAGAUGAUGCUUCGUACUUUAAUUGACAGACAGUCCGUCGUCUGUCGGUCGAAGCUGAAUAUUCUACAACCUCCUGUCACUUGUGCUUAUAAAUGACUAUCACAUUUUUAACAAAAUACGUUGGUUUAAAGUAGCAAUAGUGCAACCUGACUCUUUGUUAACACAGACACUUGCUCCGGAUAUGAAAGGGAAACCAACAAAUGCAUCUGCUCUGGCUUUUUCUUGUGAUAAAAACACGGUAAUAUAUUUAAAGAAAUGUACACUUCCUCGUCCUUUGAGUGUAAAACUACUACCAACCAAAUGUAAAAGAUUAUUUUUUUAAAUGUUACAUUUAUAUGACCGAUUAAAAGAAAAGAAAAUAUACUUAAAUGUUUAAAAACCCAAUGGUACUUUGUUCAGGAAAGGUAUGGCUAUUGUACGACCUGCAUUUUGUUCAGCAAUGACUGUUGAAAAUUACGCAUUUCUCUUUUAUAUUCCGUGAUCAACAACAACAAAAAGAACAACACGUUUCCUUUCGGACGUUAAUUUAAGGCAGGCUCCAACAAUUAUCCGCGAGCUCGUUCGGGGGAUCAAGCCAUUGCACUGCUGUACACGAGCCGCCAGGCUUUUCACUCCCGGCAUGCACCAGCUUAUUGCCUGCACAAACUGCGCUCCGCCACAAGUGAUCAACGUCAUUAAGCCAUAAAAAAACUGAGGGACACUUUCCCCCAUCACCCUCCCUACCAUCCCCCCAAUAAAAAGGCCUUCAUUAAGACGAAGAAAAUUAGGAGGCCAGUUAUACAACCGUUUAGGGCAAGGUUAAGACCAGGACACACUUUGUAUGUAGAACUUCUUUCGCACAGUAGGUAUUCAACCGCGCUAAAUCGGGGGUGCGGGGUAUUACGAUGUGCUUGUAUGAUUGAUACAAAGGCACCCAUGGUAAAAAGUGCUUCCAUGCGCGCGCACAUACAUACACACACGCGAGCACACUGCAGCCUCCAAAAGGAACUGCGGACCCUAGAGGAACGAUAAGACAAUAGCUGUAAUGUUCAGAUGACAACCACCCUUGAAUGUGAGUACAAACACUAAAUAUUCGUAUAUGGAUAUGGUAUCAUAAUGGCGUUACUUUCGUCUUGCAGCCAAGAGGCUAAACAACAUCAGGGACUAAAAGAGAUAGAGAUCGCUGAAAAUUAGGCAAAUUGCCUGAGCGAGACAGAUUGCAACUGCACAGGAUUGUAUGCACUGCAGUCAGCAUUUUCAUUCAGCAGUGGAUAAAUAAUGCACAGUAUUAAAUGUGCAUGACAUUGAGGGUGUUGGUUAGCAGGUUUAAUGCUACACAUCGAGUCUUCAAUGUAGCCUCCUGUGGAAAAUGUCCUCCAGAUUCGUUAAAAACAAAAGACUCGUAAACAAACCAAUUCCAGUUAAUUGCCAGUUGCAACAUACAGUACUUGUUUAGCAAGUUGACAAAUACAGCCCCACUCACUUUAGAGACUAUUCCUUUGGUUAACAUUUGGGAUCAAGUCCACUGCAUCUUGGAUUGACGGUUACUGCAAGAAAAUAUGGUUGGUUUAAAACGCUUCACAACUAAGAUCAAUGAAAGAAGAGGAAAACUGCAUACAUUUUACUCACUAACCUUAAAUUUGUUAAAGCGAAGUAAAGUAUGACAGAAAGUUGAUAUUUCAGUGAGUAUAUACAGAGUUAUAAAAGCUGUUACGCUAAUAAAAGGUAAAAAUAAAAGUCCGUUUUAAUCAACUGCUUCAGACAACAUACUAGGAUUAAAUAGGUUUAACGUGCUCAAAGUAAAAAAAAAAAUUGCAGUAUUACCACAUAUCAUCUAAAGGAAAUCACAUUGCUAUAAAAUGAUACAUUUACCGAGGACCUUUUUGUUGUUUACAGAGGGACCCUCGCAAGUACCAAACGCAGGCAAGCAUGAGAAGUGCGUUAAAAUCGGCACAACCACCGCACCACAGCAAAUCACAAGCAGCACCAAACACCACCCUGGUACUCUGCACCUCGACUGGACUGCCACACAAGCCCUUGAAAACGACUGGUGUACAGCCUUUGGAGCAGAGACUGCCGGAUCAUCAUGUUGGAGCCAGCUAAUUUCGCGCCGGGUAAUUAUCGAUGAUCAAGUGUAUAUGUCACGGUAAGAUUAAUAUAAAUGUAUUAAAAACUUUCAUUUUUAGGUACAUUGGUUGUGGUGGUUGCCAUUAUCAUAUUUACUUUCAAUUCCUGGGAUAUAUUUUUCGUUCUAAAAGAGAUCUGCAUGGAAUUCCUCUACAUUCUGCUGAAGCAUCAUGGCUUCGGUCAAGCUUUCAGGGUUACAAUUUGCUAUUACCAAUCAUCAGCUCCCUUUUUUCCUGUUUUCAUGCCCCCAUUUCUUUCUUAUGACAUCUUAGAUAUUUGUUGUGCUUUGUUCUAUAAUUGUGUUUCCCCUAAUAGCUCUAAAGUGUUCCGUGUAUUGUUGAGCAUUCAAAUCCCUUGGUGUUCUCCUUGCUGUUGUUUCCACUUGUGAUCUCGCAAAGCUUGUUUGCCAUGUGCUUUUUACUUUGACCCAUUUUUCUGUGCACUGUCCAUUAUUCCUAUGCUAGAUAUUUAAUUUAUAACACCGAUUUUUUGAAUUUGAACAUUCUGCUUCCUUUUGCAUUGGAAUACACUACUUAGAAUAAGUCAAACGUCUCCCACCAACUGAAUUAGGAUUUUCUUAUGUGAACCAACUUGUUUUGGCCAGCUUUGGCCUCCCUUUGGCAAUAUUGAUGUGUAACUUGCAUUGCAAUAGCCUACCAACACAUCCUUUGUUGAAGUUGCAGAGGUACAACUGACAUAUGUGGACCUUAUUCACAACAGUAUAAAAUUGCAUGCCAUUGAAGUAAAAAUCUUUCAACGGAAUAGUUCCUGCAACCUAACUGCAGAAAUUCAUUAUAAUCCCUUCUUAAAUACAGUUUCCUUCACCUCCCAAGUAAAGUGAAAGGACAUCAAAUACAUGCUAUAUAUAACAUGCAACAAGAUUUUAACUAAGCUAGACAAGCUUUCAAUCAAUACUUCAAACGCACCAUAGCAAAAUCUAUUUCCCAAUAUCUAUUCAAUUAAUUCACAACACAAAUUAGAUUUUUUGUUUACAUUUCCCCGGCCAAUAUAAUUAACUAAGUAUGGAGUCAAUUUCACAUAAACUCAAUUGUAUAAUGAAAUCAAUAAAAAACUAUUUGGGAUCAAAUUUAA